CGCGCGCGGGGGGGGGGCUCGAUUUCACACCGUGGCUGUGUCUCAUUUAGAAGGCCACGUCCUCCGGAGGUCGCAUCCUCUGGAGGUCGAAUCCUCUCUAGGAUGCGUAUACGGAGUGUCCUUAACCCUGGGAUUAAACGAGACGGCCUUCGUAGGACGUACGGAAAAGGAAACAGGAAGUAUCACGUUGCUAUGCCAACACAUAGCGUCGUUGCGCUCUCACACUUGUUAAAGAAAAAAAUAUUAGGAAAAUUAUUUCUAAAUUUGAAAAGAAAAUGUUUUUACUUGUUUUAUUUUAUUCAAUGUUUGAGGAGCUACAGCGUACGUACAACAGACAUUUGUUAGAGAGAAAAAAGAGGAGGAUGCAUGUCAAGAACAAAGUUUAUCCGUUUUUACCGGCGGAGGUUUGAGACAGACAUCAAGUAUUGCAGGCUCAAUCCCCAUGUCCCUGUUUUUGAGAAGUUUUUUGAUGGAGGGGAUACAAAAGCAGACUUUCGUCUGACGAGAGAGAGCCUCAAUAAACUUUUGGAGCUGCUUCAUCAGCAACGGAGACAUGGCUGGGGUACAACACUCCAGACACUGGUGUUUUUGUAUUGGUUGGCCUGUGGUGCAUCUUACAGGGUUGUGUCGCAGGCUUUUGGGAUGC
ensembl:lncRNA